rnacentral:rRNA from 1 species
AUGGUGAAUCUACAGGAUUGGUAUGAACUUAGAAUACAAAUUUUGGGACAUCUAUUAACAUUGAAAGAGAAUGAAUGUGAAGACAAUAUGUGUGCUGGUGUCCUGGGAUUCAUCAGUUGUAUCAGGAAAACCAAAGUAAAACAGGUACUCAGAUUUUUUUUAUUCUACAUUUUCCAGAUAUAG